AACGAACGCUGGCGGCAGGCCUAACACAUGCAAGUCGAGCGAGCAUUUCGGGGCUGGCGGCGGACGGGUGAGUAACGCGUGGAAACGUGCCCUUUUCUGCGGAAUAGUCCGGGGAAACUGGGGGUAAUACCGCAUACGCCCUUUUGGGGAAAGAUUUAUCGAAAAAGGAUCAGCCCGCGAUGGAUUACGUAGUUGGGGGGGUAAUGGCCCACCAAGCCGACGAUCCAUAACUGGCUUGAGAGGAUGAUCACCCACACUGGGACUGAAACACGGUCCACACUCCUGCGGGAGGCACCCGGGCGGAAUCUUAAACGAAGGGGGCAACCCUGAUCUAUCCAUGCCGCGUGAAUGAUGAAUGCCUUAAGGUUGUAAGGGUCUUUCAGGUGGGAAGAUAAUGACGGUACCUGCACAAGAAGCCCCGGCUAACUCCGUGCCAUCAGCCACGGUGAUACUGACGGGGCUAGCGUUGUUCGGAAUUACUGGGCGUAAAGCGCACGUAAGCAGACCGGAAAGUAGGGGGUGAAAUCCCGGGGGUCAACCCCGGAACUGCCUUCAGAACUACUGGUCUGAAGUUCGAGAGAGGUGAGUGGAAUUCCAAGUGUAGCGGCGAAAUUUGUAGAUAUUAGGAGGAACACCAGUGGCGAAGGCGGCUCUCUGGCUCAAUACUGACGCUGAGGUGUGAAAGCGUGGGGAGCAACCAGGAUUAGAUACCCUGGUAGUCCACGCGGUACACGAUGAAUUCCAGUGGUCGGGUUGCAUGCAAUUCGGUGACACACCUAGCGGAUUAAGCAUUCCGCCUGGGGAGUACGGUCGCAAGAUUAAAACUCCAAGGAAUUGACGGGGGCCCGCACAAGCGGUGGAGCAUGUGGUCUAAUUCGAAGCAACGCGCAGAACCUUCCCCACCCUGGACAUCCCUGGCCAUCCCGAGUGAUCGGGCUUUCACUUCGGUGCCCAGGAGACAGGUGCUGCAUGGCUGUCGUCAGACUUGUGUCGUGAGACGUUCGGCUAAGUCCGGCAACGAGCGCAACUCCACGUCCCCAGUUGCCAGCAUUCAGUUGGGCACUCUGUGGAAACUGCCGGUGAUAAGCCGGAGGAAGGUGUGCAUGACGUCAAGUCCUCAUGGCCCUUACGGGUUGGGCUACACACGUGUUACAACGGUGGUGACAGUGGGUUAAUCCCCAAAACCCAUCUCAGUCCGGAUUGUCCUCUGCAACUCGAGGCCAUGAAGUUGGAAUCGCUAGUAAUCGCGGAACAGCAUGCCGCGGUGAAUACGUUCCCGGGCCU
rnacentral:rRNA from 1 species